rnacentral:rRNA from 1 species
CCUACGGGAGGCAGCAGUGAGGAAUAUUGGUCAAUGGGCGGGAGCCUGAACCAGCCAAGCCGCGUGAGGGAAGAAGGUACAGCGUAUCGUAAACCUCUUUUGUCAGGGAACAAAGGCCGGGACUAGUGCCCGGAUGAGGAUACCCGAAGAAAAAGCAACGGCUAACUCCGGGCCAGCAGCCGCGGUAAGACGGAGGAUGCGAGCGUUAUCCGGAUUUAUUGGGUUUAAAGGGGGCGCAGGCGGCAUGUUAAGUCAGCGGUAAAAGGCCGGGGCGCAACCCCGGCGAGCCGUUGAAACUGGCGGGCUGGAGUUGGCGAGAAGUACGCGGAAUGCGCGGGGUAGCGGUGAAAUGCUUAGAUAGCGCGCAGAACCCCGAUUGCGAAGGCAGCGUACCGGCUCCAAACUGACGCUGAGGCACGAAAGCGUGGGUAUCGAACAGGAUUAGAUACCCCUGUAGUC